rnacentral:rRNA from 1 species
CAGCCCUAGACGAUGCGCGUUAGGUGUAUCGGUGACCACGAGUCACCGAGGUGCCGAAGGGAAACCGUGAAACGUGCCGCCUGGGAAGUACGGUCGCAAGGCUGAAACUUAAAGGAAUUGGCGGGGGGAGGCACCACAACGGGUGGAGCCUGCGGUUUAAUUGGACUCAACGCCGGGAAGCUCACCGGAUAAGACAGCGGAAUGAUUGCCGGGCUGAAGACCCUGCAUGACCAGCUGAGAGGAGGUGCAUGGCGUGUGACUGU